rnacentral:rRNA from 1 species
UACGGAGGGUGCAAGCGUUGUUCGGAAUUACUGGGCGUAAAGCGCGUGUAGGCGGUUAGGCAAGUCAGAUGUGAAAGCCUCCCGCUUAACGGGAGAAUUGCGCUUGGGACUGGAAGGCUUGAGUUCGGGAGAGGAGAGUGGAAUUCCCAGUGUAGAGGUGAAAUUCGUAGAUAUUGGGAAGAACACCGGUGGCGAAGGCGGCUCUCUGGACCGAUACUGACGCUGAGGCGCGAAAGCGUGGGGAGCAAAC